GAUAUUCUAUCCAGAUCAUCACGCCAUUUUUGGAACGUGUGGUGCCCGCUUCAGGCACCAGGCAUGCAGGCUGUCCUCACCGUGCCUUCCUGUCUUUCUGUGGAUACCUGCAAGGAGGCAAUGGCUCCUCCUCAGAGAUGAGCCAUGCUGGAUGCCGCAACACAAGAGAAAAAUUAUACAAGGCAAGGCAACAGGCAAUGUAAAGGCCCACUAGGUGGAAAACUGGAGCCUCAGGGAGGGGCCUGGGCCUGCAGGCAGGGGCCAUGGCAGCCUUGUCCUCUGAGUUUGGGUGAAACCUUCUGACCUUGGCAUGCGGCUCCAGACCCUGGGAAUUCACAGCUAAGGACUGGUCAACUUCAGCGCUCUUUGUACCUCCCUUUGGAGGGUGAGUACUUGCGUUAUGUAGUGCCGAGCUGUGCAAAGUUCUUUGCAGGAUGUUGUGAUGAUUGCUUGCCCAAUGGUUUCAAGUUACUAAAUGGAGUCUAAAAUUAAUUGGAAUGCUCUCAGCAUCUUCUGUGAGAGUUUAACAGCGCACAGACCUUAAUUCAGAUACUAGUCUAAUAAAACACUUUAUGCCAAGUAAUGCUUUUGCUUGGCCCUCUCUGCUGUGACUGUCUCUAUUUCUGCUGUGUUGUACCUCCCCUUCAUGGGAGCUGUGUGUACGAGUGCAUGAAGAGGAGGUUCUGCAGGCCCACAAAGAAAGUGUAUUUCAUUUUUAGUGUGUGUUGAAGUUUGGGCUAUGGUAUCCUGUUCUGGCGUUUUCUUUCAUAACCAAGAUGGAUGGAAGCAUUUUGCUAAUACCAAAGUCAGUUUCUGGGGGAUCUUGGUUGUAUGUAAGAAUAUAGCGGAUUCUUGGGGCACUGUUUUUCUCUGAUGUGAGUGAGGAUACCUGGGGUUACAGAGGAUCCAGCUUUGUAGAUCCAUGCAACUUAAGAUUUGCUACAUCGAGUGAUUUCUGUUGCUUCAACACGUAAAUCAUAGGAAAUACUGGUGUGGUUUGUGUGUAUCUUUAUGUAUAUUUGUUCUAACAUCUGAAGCCCAAAAUACAAACUCAUCUAUCACUCAGAAGCCCUACCAGGCAGGCUACCAUAUGAGUGAAAUGCAAAAUACUGUUAUGUACUCAGAACAUGCUUUGUAUGGACCAGCUAGCUCCCCCUUCAUGCUAUCUCGCGUAGUAGAGCCUACAGCUGCGUGACUGCGAUUUUAAUAUGAUUUGAGCAGACAUCAAAAUUUAUUAUGUCAAAAUUGUUUAACAAAAAAAUGCUUUAAGCAAGCAUAAUUAUUUACUACUUUUCUGCAGACUAUUAGCUUGCAUAUGAUCAUUAGCUGUAAUUCAAAAUAGCUUUUGAUGAAUUUUAUUAAGAAAAGACUGAAUUUCAUUUGGGCUUUUACUGUCUUGUGUACAUGACAAUCUUGACAACUGUGUACCAAUCAUUAUGUUCUUGUAACAAUCUCAUCAGAAGAGACUGAUCAAUGGAAGACAUAAUAAAUUAAGGCU
rnacentral:lncRNA from 7 species